AGAGUUUGAUCCUGGCUCAGGAUGAACGCUAGCGGCAGGCUUAAUACAUGCAAGUCGAGGGGCAGCGCGGGUAGCAAUAUCUGGCGGCGACCGGCGCGCGGGUGCGUAACACGUAUGCAACUUACCUUUAACUAGAGAAUAGCCCCGAGAAAUCGGGAUUAAUACUCCAUAACAUUAUGAAAUGGCAUCAUUUUAUAAUUAAAGCUCCGGCGGUUUUAGAUGGGCAUGCGCGACAUUAGCUAGUUGGUGAGGUAACGGCUCACCAAGGCUUCGAUGUCUAGGGGUCCUGAGAGGGUUAUCCCCCACACUGGUACUGAGACACGGACCAGACUCCUACGGGAGGCAGCAGUAAGGAAUAUUGGGCAAUGGACGAAAGCCUGACCCAGCCAUGCCGCGUGCAGGAUGACGGCCCUAUGGGUUGUAAACUGCUUUUGUCCGGGAAGAAUAUCCCGGUCGUGAACCGGGACUGAUGGUACUGUAUGAAUAAGCAUCGGCUAACUCCGUGCCAGCAGCCGCGGUAAUACGGAGGAUCCGAGCGUUAUCCGGAUUUAUUGGGUUUAAAGGGUGCGUAGGCGGGUUUAUAAGUCAGUGGUGAAAUCCUUCUGCUCAACAGAAGAACAGCCAUUGAUACUGUAAGCCUUGAGUACAGUUGAGGUAGGCGGAAUGUGUUGUGUAGCGGCGAAAUGCUUAGAUAUCACACAGAACACCGAUUGCGAAGGCAGCUUACGAAACUGUAACUGACGCUGAGGCACGAAAGCGUGGGGAUCAAACAGGAUUAGAUACCCUGGUAGUCCACGCCGUAAACGAUGAUCACUCGCUGUUUGCGAUAUACAGCAAGCGGCUGAGCGAAAGCAUUAAGUGAUCCACCUGGGGAGUACGAUCGCAAGGUUGAAACUCAAAGGAAUUGACGGGGGCCCGCACAAGCGGAGGAACAUGUGGUUUAAUUCGAUGAUACGCGAGGAACCUUACCUGGGCUUAAAUGUAGGCUGCAUUCGGCUGAAAGGCUGAUUCCCUUCGGGGCUGCUUACAAGGUGCUGCAUGGUUGUCGUCAGCUCGUGCCGUGAGGUGUCGGCUUAAGUGCCAUAACGAGCGCAACCCUUGUCGUUAGUUGCCAUCAAGUAAUGUUGGGGACUCUAGCGAGACUGCCUACGCAAGUAGUGAGGAAGGGGGGGAUGACGUCAAAUCAGCACGGCCCUUACGUCCGGGGCGACACACGUGUUACAAUGGCCGGUACAAAGGGCAGCUACCAGGUGACUGGAUGCGAAUCUCAAAAACCUAUCUCAGUUCGGAUCGGAGUCUGCAACUCGACUCCGUGAAGUUGGAUUCGCUAGUAAUCGCGCAUCAGCCAUGGCGCGGUGAAUACGUUCCCGGGCCUUGUACACACCGCCCGUCAAGCCAUGGAAGCUGGGGGUGCCUGAAGUUCGUGACCGCAAGGAGCGACCUAAGGCAAAACUGGUAACUGGGGCUAAGUCGUAACAAGGUAACC
rnacentral:rRNA from 1 species